AGUGGGGAAUAUUGCACAAUGGGCGAAAGCCUGAUGCAGCGACGCCGCGUGAGGGAUGACGGCCUUCGGGUUGUAAACCUCUUUCAGCAGGGAAGAAGCGAAAGUGACGGUACCUGCAGAAGAAGCGCCGGCUAACUACGUGCCAGCAGCCGCGGUAAUACGUAGGGCGCAAGCGUUGUCCGGAAUUAUUGGGCGUAAAGAGCUCGUAGGCGGCUUGUCACGUCGAUUGUGAAAGCCCGAGGCUUAACCUCGGGUCUGCAGUCGAUACGGGCUAGCUAGAGUGUGGUAGGGGAGAUCGGAAUUCCUGGUGUAGCGGUGAAAUGCGCAGAUAUCAGGAGGAACACCGGUGGCGAAGGCGGAUCUCUGGGCCAUUACUGACGCUGAGGAGCGAAAGCGUGGGGAGCGAACAGGAUUAGAUACCCUGGUAGUCCACGCCGUAAACGGUGGGAACUAGGUGUUGGCGACAUUCCACGUCGUCGGUGCCGCAGCUAACGCAUUAAGUUCCCCGCCUGGGGAGUACGGCCGCAAGGCUAAAACUCAAAG
rnacentral:rRNA from 3 species